AGUGAAGCGGGAUGAGCUCAAAUUUAAAAUCUGGCUGGUUUACUAGUCCGAAUUGUAGUUUAAAGAAGCGUUUUCGGUGGCAGCCUGGGUAUAAAUCCUUUGGAACAGGGUAUCAUAGAGGGUGAGAAUCCCGUCUUUGACUCAGUGCAUGCUACUAUGUGAUACGUUUUCAAAGAGUCGAGUUGUUUGGGAAUGCAGCUCAAAAUGGGUGGUAAAUUUCAUCUAAGGCUAAAUAUUGGCGAGAGACCGAUAGCGAACAAGUACCGUGAGGGAAAGAUGAAAAGAACUUUGAAAAGAGAGUUAAACAGUGCGUGAAAUUGUUGAAAGGGAAACGCUUGACACCAGUCAUGCGAGCGGAAAAUCAGUCUUUUGCAGUGGGGAGUUGUGUGGGUUCGGACCGCAAGGCCGGCCUGCGCUGCAUCUCUGCUGUAAGUGAUGCACUUUUUCGUUUGCAGGCCAACAUCAGUUUCUUCUGCUGGACAAAACUCUUGAGAAGGUAGCAGCUUUGGCUGUGUUAUAGCUCUUGAGCGAUACAGUGGAGGGGACUGAGGUUUUCGCAGCGCGUGCUCUCGGGCAAGGCUGAUUGGGUGCUAUGGGAUCGUUCGGUGUACAAUGCUUGCAUUUUGCGCCGUGUCUUUUCUGUACUCGCUCAACUCGGCUCUUCCGCGCUUAGGAUGUUGGCUUAAUGGUUUUAAUCGACCCGUCUUGAAACACGGACCAAGGAGUCUAACAUAUAUGCAAGUGUUUGGGUGGCAAACCCAUGCGCGUAAUGAAAGUGAACGUAGGUGCCAUCCGCAAGGUGCAGCAUCGACCGAUCUUGAUAUUUUUGGAUAGAUUUGAGUAAGAGCAUAUAUGCUGGGACCCGAAAGAUGGUGAACUAUGCCUGAAUAGGGUGAAGCCAGAGGAAACUCUGGUGGAGGCUCGUAGCGAUUCUGACGUGCAAAUCGAUCGUCAAAUUUGGGUAUAGGGGCGA
rnacentral:rRNA from 1 species